rnacentral:rRNA from 1 species
CCUACGGGGGGCAGCAGUAGGGAAUAUUGCUCAAUGGGGGAAACCCUGAAGCAGCAACGCCGCGUGGAGGAUGAAGGUUUUCGGAUUGUAACCUCCUUUUGUUAGAGAAGAUAAUGACGGUAUCUAACGAAUAAGCACCGGCUAACUCCGUGCCAGCAGCCGCGGUAAUACGGAGGGUGCAAGCGUUACUCGGAAUCACUGGGCGUAAAGCGCGCGUAGGCGGGAUAGCAAGUCAGAUGUGAAAUCCUAUGGCUUAACCAUAGAACUGCAUUUGAAACUGUUAUUCUAGAGUAUGGGAGAGGUAGGUGGAAUGCUUGGUGUAGCGGUAAAAUCCGUAGAGAUCAAGAGGAAUACUCAUUGCGAAGGCGACCUGCUAGAACAUAACUGACGCUGAGGCGCGAAAGCGUGGGGAGCAAACAGGAUUAGAUACCCUAGUAGUC